CCUCCCCAAGGUGUGACGAGAGUCUUCAAGCACUAAACUCACAGUCUGCACAAUAUCCGAAAAGAGUGCUAUGGUGCUGUCAUGCUCCUGAACCGGUACUUCCGUGGCUGAGAGAGCUGGCCAUUCUGUAGGAUCUUGAACAGCAGCCUCCACACACAGCUGGUUUGGCAGGUCGUCAUGUAUGGAUGCUAAACACCUCCUAGCCCCUUCAGCACUCAGAUGUAGUCCAUCAUGGGACAAGUACAGGGACUUCUUAAAAUUAAAUUUUGAUUAUUGAUAGUUACCGUACUAAUUUGUUUUAAACAUAACUAAGAUAUUAAAGCAGCAAAUUAAAUGAA